CCUACGGGGGGCUGCAGUGGGGAAUCUUGCGCAAUGGACGAAAGUCUGACGCAGCGACGCCGCGUGAGUGAUGAAGGCCUUCGGGUUGUAAAGCUCUGUGGGGAGAGACGAAUAAGGUGCAGUUAAUAUCUGCAUCGAUGACGGUACCUCCUUAGCAAGCACCGGCUAACUCUGUGCCCGCAGCCGCGGUAAGACAGAGGGUGCAAACGUGGUUCGGGAUCGCUGGGCGUAAAAGAUAAGUCGGAUGUCAAAGCCCCGGGCUCAACCUGGGAAGUGCAUUCGAUACUGUUUGACUUGAGUACUGGAGAGGUUGGUGGAAUUCUCGGUGUAGAGGUGAAAUUCGUAGAUAUCGGGAAGAACAUCUGUGGCGAAGGCGGCCAACUGGACAGAUACUGACGCUGAGACACGAAAGCGUGGGGAGCAAACAGGAUUAGAUACCCCGGUAGUC
rnacentral:rRNA from 1 species